GGAGAGAUGCCAGAGUGGUCGAAUGGGGCGGUCUCGAAAACCGUUGAACGCUUUUGCGUUCCAAGGGUUCGAAUCCCUUUCUCUCCG
rnacentral:tRNA from 1 species